rnacentral:tRNA from 1 species
AGCGGCUAAUUUAAUUUAAAAUAACUAAUUUCGACUUAGUCAACCAUGAUUAUAAACCAUGGCCACUCU